UUUAUUGGAGAGUUUGAUCCUGGCUCAGGAUGAACGCUGGCGGCGUGCCUAAUACAUGCAAGUCGAGCGAACGGAUUGAGAGCUUGCUCUCAAGAAGUUAGCGGCGGACGGGUGAGUAACACGUGGGUAACCUGCCCAUAAGACUGGGAUAACUCCGGGAA
rnacentral:rRNA from 1 species